rfam:Felis catus isolate Cinnamon breed Abyssinian chromosome B3, whole genome shotgun sequence.
GCCUGGGUGGCUCAGUCGGUUGAGCAUUCGACUUCGGCUCAGGUCAUGAUCUCACGGUUUGUGGGUUCGAGCCCCGCGUCAGGCU